rnacentral:rRNA from 1 species
UACGUAGGGUGCGAGCGUUAAUCGGAAUUACUGGGCGUAAAGCGUGCGCAGGCGGUGAUGUAAGACAGGUGUGAAAUCCCCGGGCUUAACCUGGGAACUGCAUUUGUGACUGCAUCGCUGGAGUGCGGCAGAGGGGGAUGGAAUUCCGCGUGUAGCAGUGAAAUGCGUAGAUAUGCGGGGGAACACCGAUGGCGAAGGCAAUCCCCUGGGCCUGCACUGACGCUCAUGCACGAAAGCGUGGGGAGCAAACAGG